UUUUAAAAGUUUUUUAUUUUUUUUGGGAGAGCAUAUUCACAAUGUUUAUUCCAAUAACAAAAAGAAGCGUAGCUGGUGAAAUUGUUUUGAUAACAGGUGCAGAUCAUGGUAUCGGAAAAGAAUUAGCGAUUGGUUAUGCACGUUAGGAGCAACAGUCAUAUGUUGGGAUAUUAAUGAAGAAACUAACAAUCAAACAAUGAACGAGAUUAAAAUGAUGGGGAAAGGCGCUGUAUACGCAUAUCAGUAAAUCAAUGCUACUUGAUUUU